GGGCCCUUAGCUCAGCGGUUUAGAGCGCUCGCCUCACACGCGAGAGGUCACAGGUUCGAAUCCCGUAGGGCCCA
rnacentral:tRNA from 1 species